rnacentral:lncRNA from 1 species
CAGGCCCUACUUCCGGGGGUGAGAGGUGGAGGCGGACGUGCCGGGAGAUUGCUCUCGUCCUUGUGUGAGAGACCGUCAGGCGGGGGACGCCGAACAGCCUCGGGCUGUGCAAGCAUGGAGUCGGAGUCCGGGGUUCCUUUCAACAGGACUCUGAACAAACUCUACUUCUGCACUCCCUGCUCUCUGCAGGGACACACCAGCUCUGUGGCUGGCCCAGUGUUUACCUAAUUGGUGGGAGGACAUUUUAAUAUGAAAAGGAAAACAUUUCUU